rnacentral:rRNA from 1 species
CCUACGGGCGGCUGCAGUGGGGAAUAUUGCACAAUGGGCGCAAGCCUGAUGCAGCCAUGCCGCGUGUGUGAAGAAGGCCUCCGGGUUGUAAAGCACUUUCAGCGGGGAGGAAGGCGGUGAGGUUAAUAACCUCAUCGAUUGACGUUACCCGCAGAAGAAGCACCGGCUAACUCCGUGCCAGCAGCCGCGGUAAUACGGAGGGUGCAAGCGUUAAUCGGAAUUACUGGGCGUAAAGCGCACGCAGGCGGUCUGUCAAGUCGGAUGUGAAAUCCCCGGGCUCAACCUGGGAACUGCAUUCGAAACUGGCAGGCUAGAGUCUUGUAGAGGGGGGUAGAAUUCCAGGUGUAGCGGUGAAAUGCGUAGAGAUCUGGAGGAAUACCGGUGGCGAAGGCGGCCCCCUAGACAAAGACUGACGCUCAGGUGCGAAAGCGUGGGGAGCAAACAGGAUUAGAUACCCCGGUAGUC